GAUGAAGAACGUAGCGAAAUGCGAUAAGUAAUGUGAAUUGCAGAAUUCAGUGAAUCAUCGAAUCUUUGAACGCACAUUGCGCCCAUUAGUAUUCUAGUGGGCAUGCCUGUUCGAGCGUCAUUUCAACCCUUAAGCCUCUGUUGCUUAGCGUUGGAGCCUACCUACCCGGUAGAUCCUCAAAGUUAGCUGGCAGGGUCGAGGUUCGCCCUAAGCGUAGUAGUUCUUUCUCGCUUCUGCGGCUGCCUAGGCCAUCGCCACAAGCCUUUUAAACUUCAAUGGUUGACCUCGGAUCAGGUAGGAAUACCCGCUGAACUUAAGCAUAUCAAUAAGCGGAGGA
rnacentral:misc_RNA from 1 species